GGCAUUCCAACAACUUCUGAUCCAUCACUGAGGUUAUCCUUGCUCAGGGACGAGCAAGAGGUAAGCUUGGGGGAGUUUGUUGACGGUCCUUAAGUAUCAAAUAUAAUCAGCAAAUAAAUAAAGAAAAGGAUCCAAAUGCAACCGACACCCAGACUUAGGGUUUUAUCUAACAGAAUUCCACGAGUUUUGGUGUUUGUCUAUUUCUGCAGGGGGUUAUCAGGAAAUACGGAAGAAAGACCCACACGUCGGGUUUACAUAGAGAUAUUAACGUGCCGUGCAAUUAUCCUACAUCUAGAAGAGUCCAGAAGCCACACGAACGAACGGG
rnacentral:lncRNA from 1 species